UUCUUGUGAUCUUUGCUGCCUUGUGCAAGCUGUGUUGUUUCUCCAUGUGCAAUGCUUGUUCGCCUUGCCAGCCUCAGAACCAGCCGAUUAUGGACUGAAACCUCCACAAACUGUGAGCCCUGAAUCUCAUCUGAUGACUGACUGCUGCCACCACCAGCCUGUGUCCCUUAUCUGGGCCUGUCACUGUGGCACCUCCCAGCAGGGGCUGUAGAAUGAAAGAGAACAUGUCCAAUAACAGUACCACUAGCAUCUCCCAGGUCCAGAAGGCUGUGGAGCAGCUGAAAAUGGAGGCCCGCAUGGACAGGGUAAAGAUUGAAAAGUUAUGGUGCAUCUACUGUAAAAGAAAAAUUGUAAACAACUAGAGCAAAGAGGAGGUAUGUCUAACAUAAAGGAUAGAUCUGCAGAGCGGGCACAUCCUACCAGAAAAACAACCAAGGAGGAAAGAGGGAAAGUGCUGCAUAAUUGGCGAGUGUAGGUGCAAAGGGAUCAUUGUAUUUGGGACCUCAAAAUCUUAUUUGCAAAAUUAAUUUAAAAUAAGCUUGAAUAAGAAUCUUGUUAUAUUUAAAAUGCUUGGGCGAUUAUAAACAAUGGGCAAAAUGAUUAAUGAUAGUGUAAUUAACUCUAGGGCAAUGUGUAGUGAGGUGUUGCAAGGGUCCAUGUUGGGUCUGGACUAGCUUACUGCCUUUAAUGAUCUGGAAAAGGGAG
rnacentral:lncRNA from 1 species